rnacentral:rRNA from 1 species
AUGAACGCUGGCGGCGUGCCUCAUCCAUGCAAGUCGCGCGAACAGACGAGGAGCUUGCUCCUUUGACGUUAGCGGCGGACGGGUGAGUAACACGUAGGUAACCUACCUAUAAGACUGGGAUAACUUCGGGAAACCGGAGCUAAUACCGGAUAAUAUUUCGAACCGCAUGGUUCGAUAGUGAAAGAUGGCUUUGCUAUCACUUAUAGAUGGACCUGCGCCGUAUUAGCUAGUUGGUAAGGUAACGGCUUACCAAGGCAACGAUACGUAGCCGACCUGAGAGGGUGAUCGGCCACACUGGAACUGAGACACGGUCCAGACUCCUACGGGAGGCAGCAGUAGGGAAUCUUCCGCAAUGGGCGAAAGCCUGACGGAGCAACGCCGCGUGAGUGAUGAAGGUCUUCGGAUCGUAAAACUCUGUUAUUAGGGAAGAACAAACGUGUAAGUAACUGUGCACGUCUUGACGGUACCUAAUCAGAAAGCCACGGCUAACUACGUG